GUCAAAAGGGCAUUGGCUUUGAAGCGGUCCUACUAUGUUUGGAAGCUGGUGGCUAUGGCUCUAUGCAUGGGUUUCUGGUGUCUAAACUUUAUCUGGGCAAAAGGCCAAAAUAGAACAUGGAAGCAGUGGCUUUGGCGGUGCAAUCUGAUGAAAGGGAAAAAGCAGCUACAUGCAAAAAGUCUCCCUUUUCAUCUUCAUAGGUGAGUAGUGAGGAUUAAAGAGCCACUUUAAUUAGCAACUGGGGGACCUUGAAUUUUGAUGCUUGAAUGGAUUAAUUGCUGUUUCACUUUCUUUUCUUUGACCCCUCAUUCCAUUUAAAGAGAUAUAUCAGACACCUAAA
rnacentral:misc_RNA from 1 species